rnacentral:rRNA from 1 species
UACGGGGGGGGCAAGCGUUGUUCGGAAUUACUGGGCGUAAAGGGUUCGUAGGUGGCUUGCUAAGUCAGACGUGAAAUCCCUCAGCUUAACUGGGGAACUGCGUCUGAUACUGGCGAGCUUGAGUGCAGGAGAGGAACGCAGAAUUCCAGGUGUAGCGGUGAAAUGCGUAGAUAUCUGGAGGAAUACCGGUGGCGAAGGCGGUUAGCUGGGCAGUUGCUGACACUGAGGCGCGACAGCGUGGGGAGCAAACAGG